CAGGCUUAACACAUGCAAGUCGAGGGGCAGCAUGGUCUUAGCUUGCUAAGGCCGAUGGCGACCGGCGCACGGGUGAGUAACACGUAUCCAACCUGCCGUCUACUCUUGGACAGCCUUCUGAAAGGAAGAUUAAUACAAGAUGGCAUCAUGAGUCCGCAUGUUCACAUGAUUAAAGGUAUUCCGGUAGACGAUGGGGAUGCGUUCCAUUAGAUAGUAGGCGGGGUAACGGCCCACCUAGUCUUCGAUGGAUAGGGGUUCUGAGAGGAAGGUCCCCCACAUUGGAACUGAGACACGGUCCAAACUCCUACGGGAGGCAGCAGUGAGGAAUAUUGGUCAAUGGGCGAGAGCCUGAACCAGCCAAGUAGCGUGAAGGAUGACUGCCCUAUGGGUUGUAAACUUCUUUUAUAAAGGAAUAAAGUCGGGUAUGGAUACCCGUUUGCAUGUACUUUAUGAAUAAGGAUCGGCUAACUCCGUGCCAGCAGCCGCGGUAAUACGGAGGAUCCGAGCGUUAUCCGGAUUUAUUGGGUUUAAAGGGAGCGUAGAUGGAUGUUUAAGUCAGUUGUGAAAGUUUGCGGCUCAACCGUAAAAUUGCAGUUGAUACUGGAUAUCUUGAGUGCAGUUGAGGCAGGCGGAAUUCGUGGUGUAGCGGUGAAAUGCUUAGAUAUCACGAAGAACUCCGAUUGCGAAGGCAGCCUACUAAGCUGCAACUGACAUUGAGGCUCGAAAGUGUGGGUAUCAAACAGGAUUAGAUACCCUGGUAGUCCACACGGUAAACGAUGAAUACUCGCUGUUUGCGAUAUACAGCAAGCGGCCAAGCGAAAGCGUUAAGUAUUCCACCUGGGGAGUACGCCGGCAACGGUGAAACUCAAAGGAAUUGACGGGGGCCCGCACAAGCGGAGGAACAUGUGGUUUAAUUCGAUGAUACGCGAGGAACCUUACCCGGGCUUAAAUUGCAGAUGAAUUACGGUGAAAGCCGUAAGCCGCAAGGCAUCUGUGAAGGUGCUGCAUGGUUGUCGUCAGCUCGUGCCGUGAGGUGUCGGCUUAAGUGCCAUAACGAGCGCAACCCUUGUUGUCAGUUACUAACAGGUUCCGCUGAGGACUCUGACAAGACUGCCAUCGUAAGAUGUGAGGAAGGUGGGGAUGACGUCAAAUCAGCACGGCCCUUACGUCCGGGGCUACACACGUGUUACAAUGGGGGGUACAGAGGGCCGCUACCACGCGAGUGGAUGCCAAUCCCCAAAACCUCUCUCAGUUCGGACUGGAGUCUGCAACCCGACUCCACGAAGCUGGAUUCGCUAGUAAUCGCGCAUCAGCCACGGCGCGGUGAAUACGUUCCCGGGCCUUGUACACACCGCCCGUCAAGCCAUGGGAGCCGGGGGUACCUGAAGUGCGUAACCGCGAGGAGCGCCCUAGGGUAAAACUGGUGACUGGGGCUAAGUCAUAACAA
rnacentral:rRNA from 1 species